UAUCAUCGCAUGAAAGUGUCGUUAUUUCCACGUUUUCAAAAGUUUUUCGGUUAUGUUUUUGUAAAAGUAAAAGUCAUGUUCUCAGUGCCACAAAGUUUCAUAAAUCUCGUGUUGUUUGGUUUAGUGUGGUAGCACUGAGACAUUUAUCUUCAUUUUGUGGUGUCCGGCGGCCUUAGUCUUCGUGGUGAAUGUCGUCGGCCCCAUCUCGCUCUCGUUUUUGUGUCUUCGUGGUGUGCACAUCAAAUUUCAUUUCGUUUCAAGUUUUCGUACGUCCGCAGCCAUUUCGUUCAAACCACGUUUUUUGAACAGUGUCAUUUUCGUUUUGUGAAUAUUGAAUAACGUGGUUUUCAUUCAUUGUUUCAUUGUCCAGGGCUGUGGACCAUUGCAGUUUUUUUCGUUGGUGACUGUGCUUGAGUGGUCGCACGUACCAAUUCUGUGAUUUAUUUUCAUUUAUACACUGUGGUGUGCCGUCAUAGGCAAUUGUCUAAUCACAGGGUUGGUGUGGUCGCGUGGGUGAAAUCAGCCAUUUCAACACAGUCACAAAUACAACUGCGAAAUAUUCAACAAUGCCUAACAUCAUCAAGAAUUGUCAAUAAUGACAAGGGAACGAAGACAAUUCCUAAAUGUUCAUAUUUUCAGGUAAUGAUAAUAAAGGCACAUCAUUAACACAUUCUCAGUGCCGUAGCAACUAAAUAUUGGGGCGAAACUUCAAAAUGCAC